rnacentral:rRNA from 1 species
CCUACGGGUGGCAGCAGUGGGGAAUAUUGCACAAUGGGGGAAACCCUGAUGCAGCGACGCCGCGUGUGGGAAGACGGUCCUCUGGAUUGUAAACCACUGUCCCCAGGGACGAAGAUGACGGUACCUGGGGAGGAAGCUCCGGCUAACUACGUGCCAGCAGGCGCGGUAAUACGUAGGGAGCGAGCGUUGUCCGGAAUUACUGGGUGUAAAGGGAGCGGCGGCGGGGAUGCAAGUUGGGUGUAAAAGCUCCCGGCUCAACUGGUAGUCGCACUCAAAACUGCAGCUCUUGAGUGCAGUAGAGGCAGGCGGAAUUCCUGGUGUAGCGGUGAAAUGCGUAGAUAUUAGGAGGAACACCAGUGGCGAAGGCGGCCUGCUGGGCUUUUACUGACGCUGAGGCUCGAAAGUGUGGGGAGCAAACAGGAUUAGAUACCCCAGUAGUC